rnacentral:rRNA from 1 species
UACGAAGGGGGCAAGCGUUGUUCGGAAUGACUGGGCGUAAAGGGCGCGUAGGCGGUUCGUUGCGUCAGAUGUGAAAGCCCCGGGCUCAACCUGGGAACUGCAUUUGAUACGGGCGAGCUUGAAUCCAAGAGAGGGUGGUGGAAUUCCCAGUGUAGAGGUGAAAUUCGUAGAGAUCGGGAGGAACAUCAGUUGCGAAGGCGGCUCUCUGGGACGGUACUGACGCUGAGACGCGAAAGCGUGGGGAGCGAACAGG